CCUAGUUCUGACGAACCAGGCUCAGUUAUGCCGUGCUUUCAGCACG
rnacentral:ncRNA from 1 species